UACGUAGGGCGCAAGCGUUUAUCCGGAAUUAUUGGGCGUAAAGAGCUCGUAGGCGGUUUGUCGCGUCUGCUGUGAAAACCCGAGGCUCAACCUCGGGCCUGCAGUGGGUACGGGCAGACUAGAGUGCGGUAGGGGAGAAUGGAAUUCCUGGUGUAGCGGUGAAAUGCGCAGAUAGUCAGGAGGAACACCGGUGGCGAAGGCGGGUCUCUGGGCCGAUACUGACGCUGAGGAGCGAAAGCGUGGGGAGCGAACAGG
rnacentral:rRNA from 1 species